rnacentral:rRNA from 1 species
GACGAACGCUGGCGGCGUGCUUAACACAUGCAAGUCGAACGGUGAAGCGCCUUCCUUUUUGGUGGGUGUGGAUGAGUGGCGAACGGGUGAGUAACACGUGAGUAACCUGCCCCCUUCUUCUGGAUAACCGCAUGAAAGUGUGGCUAAUACGGGAUAUUCUGGGUCUGUCGCAUGAUGGGUCUGGGAAAGAUAUUGUUUCGGUGGGGGAUGGGCUCGCGGCCUAUCAGCUUGUUGGUGGGGUGAUGGCCUACCAAGGCGGUGACGGGUAGCCGGCCUGAGAGGGUGGACGGUCACACUGGGACUGAGACACGGCCCAGACUCCUACGGGAGGCAGCAGUGGGGAAUAUUGCACAAUGGGCGCAAGCCUGAUGCAGCGACGCCGCGUGAGGGAUGGAGGCCUUCGGGUUGUGAACCUCUUUCGCCGGUGAAGCAGGCCUGCCUCGUUUGUGGGUGGGUUGACGGUAGCUGGAUAAGAAGCGCCGGCUAACUACGUG